CCCUUAGAUGUUCUGGGCCGCACGCGCGCUACACUGAUUCAUGCAACGAGUUUUGUCCUUGGCUGAAAGGCCUGGGUAAUCUUUGAACGUGAAUCGUGCUGGGGAUAGAUGAUUGCAAUUAUUCAUCUUCAACGAGGAAUUCCUAGUAAACGCAAGUCAUCAGCUUGCAUUGAUUACGUCCCUGCCCUUUGUACACACCGCCCGUCGCACCUACCGAUUGAAUGGUCCGGUGAAAUCUUCGGAUCUGAGAGAUGUUGGAUUAAUUUCUGACGCCUUUUGGAAAAGCCGCUUAAACCUUAUCAUUUAGAGGAAGGUGAAGUCGUAACA
rnacentral:rRNA from 1 species